rnacentral:rRNA from 1 species
CGGCAACAGCUCAAAUUUGAAAUCUGACCUCUUCGGGGUCCGAGUUGUAAUUUGUAGAGGGUGCUUUGGUGUUGAUUGCGGUCUAAGUUCCUUGGAACAGGACGUCAUAGAGGGUGAGAAUCCCGUCUGUGGUCGCAUGUCUUCACCGUGUAAAGCCCCUUCGAC